AAGUCGUAACAAGGUUUCCGUAGGUGAACCUGCGGAAGGAUCAUUAACACGUAUCCAACGUUAAACCCCCUGUGAACCUUCAGCGAUCGUUACUGCGCCAUCCGUACAUAGCUAGUGACACUUUCAGACACUAACAAGCAGAGGAAUGCCAGGUCAAUUGCCUCGCACUACCGUACACCCUUCCCAGAGGUCUCUGAAUCAAAACUGUUCGGCGAUGAUUUACCAGAGAUUGCCGGUUUAUGACGUGGAUGUAACUCGUACAAUGGAGGCCGACACGGCCGGCGACCAGGUCACUGGGCUACGGCCCCCCUGAUCACAACCUUUGCAUGAAAACGGGCCUGCGCUGAGGUGCGGCCACCCCUAAUGCUUGAACAACUGUUAACAAUGGAUAUCUUGGUUCUC
rnacentral:misc_RNA from 1 species